UACAGUCCAACCUGAGUGAGUUACCUGAGCACUAGCUGCGGGCUGGGCUCUAACCAGAUAACAUGGCCACUGAUUCUUGACAGAGAUGAACAAGAUCAUUUAGAAAGGAAAGAUAAUUUCUCCCUUGAGUCACAACGAGGAAGAAACAGAAAAAGAGAACAUAUUGGGCAUUGAUAUCCCAUGUGAUCAAACUCUGCAGACCUGUAUCGUGAAUUCUGCCCCAGGUUAGAGUUAUCAAACUGGUGCUGAGGAGAAAUGCCACUGGGAGCGGCGAGUGCCUAUGUUGUUGCUGUGGUAUUUGUCUCCAAUGGAGCCAGAUAGCCUCCAAACAAACUACCUCUAGGCUAGUGAACUCUCUUGCUGACCACUCAGUUGCAGAAGAACAGUAUGUGUAAGAUUAUAAGAGGCAGUCAUGAGGGGUGGACUGUUGGAGGAUAUCAUUAAGAGGGUAUGCUGAUGACUGACCCAGGAGCUGGAAAUGAGCAAUUGGAGGCCCCUCACCCCCUCUCCUGUCUUUGUACUGUGAGUUCCAUCCUCUGUUGCCACAGUGAGAGCUGUUUUUCAAGGACGCAGCUUUCAGGGAGUGAGAUGUUGAAACCGUCUGGACGUUAUAUGUGACUGAAUCCAGUUAAGGUUUCUAUGUAAACUUUUAAGAUGCUGGUGGGUGCAUGAGUGCAGAGAUCUACUUGUCUUGCUGACACCAAGACAAGUCUCGUAUAUAAGUUCCCUUGCUUAUUAAACCAGCUACCUACCAAUCAGGACUGGUCUGCCUGUUUCUUCAAUCUCUCCUUGCCCUCUGCAUUUGGGUGCCAGUUUAUGAACCAACACCGGGAAUAGAUUCCAUGAAUGAAGAGGCUCCUUAGCUAGGCCAUGAAGGAGGACUGGGGAAUGUAGGAAGCAAAUAGCAGGAGCCAAGGUAGAGGCUGAUGUGUGGG